AUGCCGCGGCCCAGGUGGAGGGGCGGGGCCGCGCCGGGCCCCCGCCGCAGCGGGGGUGUGACGUCAUCAUACGCCACGGCCGAAGGCGAGGUGGGUCUGGGCUGCGCGGACACCCUUGAUUUUGUCGUGCUUUGGGUGUUGAGUUGUGCCGUGCGUGCGCGUACAUCCAUGCUGUCCUGCUCGAAAGAAAAAAGUUGAAACAGCAGAAAUUCCUCCAUGCAGCAUCAUACAGAAACCCAAACAGCUGAGCAGCGGUGUCAGGACCUCUGCGCCGACCUCCGUCACGCCAGCUCACAAGUGACUGCUGGCAGCAGGAGCUUUCCAUCUGCUCGAUGCAGGGACGACAGGCCCACGCUUCGUUCCUUGCUAAUAAAAGGCCAUUUAAAUCCGGCACUCCUGGAACCGGCCGUAGGUGGCACGUGGCGCUGGGAAGGGGACGUGCGCUGGGCGGUGUAGGAAGAUGCGCGGUGUAGGAAGACCCUCUGCACAGUGUAGGAAGACCCUCUGCGCGGCGUAGGAAGACCCUCUGCGCGGUGUAGGAAGACCCUCUGCGCGGCGUAGGAAGACCCUCUGCGCAGUGUAGGAAGACCCUCUGCGCGGUGUAGGAAGACCCUCUGCGCGGCGUAGGAAGACCCUCUGCGUGGCGUAGGAAGACCCGCAGCGCCUGCUUCGUGGCGCAGCCCCUUCCCCGGCAGGUCCCGGCUUCGUCCCGGCGGUUCCCCUUCUCGCCCGCGGCCGCCCUGCGCGCUGCCCGUCCAGGGUUGGGGAGAGCACCAACCGCUUCUUGGACCACCCUUCCCCUCCACGCCUGCCACAAUUCCUUCCCUUCCUUUAUCCCAGGGUCCCUCCCAACUCGUGUCCUGUCUUGCCUUUUCUUGGCUCCCCAGGCGCACCCCCCAGCCGUGCCUGUCCCCCUCGCCCCUCUGCCCAGCCCCACCGUUGCAACUGGGGUCUUCUCAGAAACGACUUGAUCUCCCCCCCGCGCCUAGUGUGCCGCGUGGGGGUCCUGGAGCAGGGUGCUGGGGGUCCUGGAGCAGGGUGCUGGGGGUCCUGGAGCAGGGUGGCCUCUCCGAGAGGUUUACUGGAAUCCAUGAAGCCUGAAACGAAGCAACUGAACUAAAGCAAGUUGUCACGUUAUUUAAUCUCCAGUUAAUUAGCUCAGUGGUAGCAAAGCCCAAAUGUAGAUUAAUCAACUGUUAACAAGGUUAUAGCAUUAAUUUUAAGCACUGUUCAAUAACUUUUCCUUUAAAAAAAUCCUAAAUAAAACGUGAUCUAAAUUUAUAAAUCCAGUAAUUGGUUACAAAUUCUUCAAGUCUGCUGAUACGAAGUUUGGAGAAAAGCAACCAAGGGAAACAAUGCCCUGAGCUUCAGGGAGAUUUUGAUCAUUCAGGUAAUUCAGCCAGCAGAUGUCAAAAUCAGGCCAGGGUAAACAAUUGUAAACUAAUUGAAUGUGAAAGCAGGGAACUACAGCAGGGAGUGGAAGUUAAAUAGUGCUAUCAGCUAUCAAACAAUGAGGAAAAGUAUUAAAAGUUUAUUGCGGGAAAAGUCAUUGAAAGGACUAGAUCAGUGUACAAUGGCAAUAAAGAAAGAGAAACAAGAAAUUCCGUCCGCAUUGUUGCUGGACAGCACACGAGGCGGCUCGUACUGUCCAGCCGCCAGACCUCUGUUAGAAAGAAAAAUAUAUAGUUAUGGCAGAAUCACUCCCCGUUAUAGGCACACUUUUCAAAAACAAAAGUGUCUUUAUUUUAGCAUCAUUAUACCAUUCCCUGGGACAUUUUAGGAACUGCAAGGAAGAAUAAGCUCAGCUGACCUGCGUACACGUUCAGCUCCAGUCCUUUCGCGGCCCCCGAGACACUUCUGAUUUAAACAUGAGUAUUCUACAGCGUGGGAGGCCACGCUUCAAACAUCGUUGGAAAAAAGGAUGUGAACCCGCAUCUGCCACAUUAUGUGGAUGUAAACUGAAGUAUUGGGAUUUUUUUCCUCACCAAAAUAAAACAGGAAACAAUUGACCUUUUUUAUUUCAGGUGUUCAGUGCUUCCCCCUCCCUUUUCAGUUUGCCAAAUUGCAUACAAAAUACCCUGCAUUCCCUUGAACCAAAAGUAGCACAAAACAGCUGGAGCCACGGUCCAGCCGUUGCUGCUUGAAUUGCCUUGGAAAAUAUUACAUGAAAGAGAUAUGGAAGCAACAGAUCUACCCUCAAGAAAAUAUGGCUUGCCCGAAGGGUCAGCUCUACAUCCUAACUUGUGACUUUUGCUGCAGCAGAUAAACCGGAGGAUUAAGGUCUGAGAGCUGCUCUAUACUGGUCAUCUUUUGCUACUCUACAGGGCUGUGGCCCUGGUAACCUACAUCAGCCUCAUGCAGGCUUCAGGAAAGCAGCAGAAGCUGAGCAGGUAAAAGCAGCUUUUUUUUCUGCACUUCCUCCACCUUCCGUAGUCUGCGCCGUUACUGGGCAAAUAGCCACGAGCAGGGCAAUGAAAGAUAACACAGGGGCUCAACAAUGUGUUCCCCAACAGGAGACAUUGCGAUUGAAUUUGUUUUCAUUAAAAAUGCUGAAAUUUC